AACGAACGCUGGCGGCAUGCCUAACACAUGCAAGUCGAACGAAGGCUUCGGCCUUAGUGGCGCACGGGUGCGUAACGCGUGGGAAUCUGCCCUUAGGUUCGGAAUAACAGCUGGAAACGGCUGCUAAUACCGGAUGAUAUCGCGAGAUCAAAGAUUUAUCGCCUGAGGAUGAGCCCGCGUUGGAUUAGGUAGUUGGUGGGGUAAAGGCCUACCAAGCCGACGAUCCAUAGCUGGUCUGAGAGGAUGAUCAGCCGCACUGGGACUGAGACACGGCCCAGACUCCUACGGGAGGCAGCAGUGGGGAAUAUUGGACAAUGGGCGAAAGCCUGAUCCAGCAAUGCCGCGUGAGUGAUGAAGGCCCUAGGGUUGUAAAGCUCUUUUACCCGGGAAGAUAAUGACUGUACCGGGAGAAUAAGCCCCGGCUAACUCCGUGCCAGCCGCCGCGGUAA
rnacentral:rRNA from 1 species